rnacentral:lncRNA from 1 species
CCGCGAUUUAGGCCCUCUGUUCGUUUUGCCCAGCUAGAUGUAUGGCAUGUGUGGCCAUCUAUUAAACUCUUUGUUUUGUUAAUUAAUUCCUGUGGCGCCACUUGUUUUAAGAAACUGUUUAGUCUCGUUUCCCCUUCCCCCCUGUCAAUCAAGUAAUCUUCUUUUACGAUAUUGUGACUGUCACUCUUUCUAUACUGAUUUAACUUCUGGAUUGACAGAGAAGUAACUUCUCCAGUAUUUGCAUUUGACUGACCUAGACGUGUUGGGUGGCAUUCACCGACAUCGUCACACUCUCAUCUUCCUGACACAGUGGCAAAGGCCACUUAAGCCGUCAGGUUUUAUUGCAUGAUUGUAUUAGAGUGGGUGUGUCCGACCAGGGCCCCAUUAGUGUGAUUCAUAUUCCAUCGAAGACUGGGUUUUCCCACCCAGGUAUUAUUAGUUUGCCCUUAUUCUGUCUGUUCACUCGUUACUUAUUGAUGUUUUAUCUUUUACCAGGAUUGAUGUGAUUUCUGAUGUGAUUUCUUGCAUGAUCUCGAUGUGAUUUCUUGCAUGAUCUCGAUGUGAUUUAUUUGCAUGUUUUGAUCUGCAUUAUUUCUGAUUGACUCAAUUAUACAGUCCACUUACAAA